CAUACAGCCCAAUUAGAAGCAUCACUGGAAGCAUCAAUUGGAGGUACAUUGUUCAUCUGAACAAUGUCCAAAAGAAAAGUGGAUUACAUGCUGCUAAUAGGGUCACAGAUAAGCAUGUGAACUUUAUUAAUCAGAAGAUGAAGGUCUCCCUGGCUGCGCAGACUUUGAGUAACUCUGUGGCCGUGGCACUUCGCACCUUGCGGGAGAUGGGCUAUGCAGAGUUCAAAGACAGUGAGGCUACUUCAGAAUUUAUUGAAAUUUCUCUCUAUCCUCGGCUUUGUCAUCAAUAUUGACACAUUGAUGUCGAUGGUUCCGGUGCUGCUUGAUAGACAGCAAUAUAUCCUGACCUACAGGUUCAGCCAGGACCACUUGGAGCUUCUCUUUAAUACCAUCAGAGCAUCUGGUGGCUGGAAUAACAACCCUACUGCCAGCCAAUUCAAGUACAUUUUCCGAAAGCUGAUGGCCCGGUGUGGGGUUGUUAAACCAAGCAGCAAAGGGAAUGUGACAGUACAGGAUGAUACAGAGAACGUACCAGCUG